CAAACGCAAAGAGACGCUGAGACGUCAAAAGAACAAAAGGGGUUGAACACUCAAACUAAUAGGGAGUCUGGAACUCGGACCUAAUAGCUGUCAAGCAAAACACACACAGAAAAAGAAAAGGGGUAAAAAAGAAAAAGGGUGCCCGGAGAGAUCUCACUCGAUCUCCUGCCUACGUAUCUCAUCUGGUAUGAGAAUCAGGGCGACGUAGUUCCCCUUAACAGGGGAGAAACUCUCCUAACCAGAGACCA
rnacentral:lncRNA from 1 species